rnacentral:rRNA from 1 species
CCUACGGGAGGCAGCAGUGGGGAAUUUUGGACAAUGGGCGCAAGCCUGAUCCAGCAAUGCCGCGUGCAGGAUGAAGGCCUUCGGGUUGUAAACUGCUUUUGUACGGAGCGAAACGGUCUGCUUUAAUACAGUGGGCUAAUGACGGUACCGUAAGAAUAAGCACCGGCUAACUACGUGCCAGCAGCCGCGGUAAUACGUAGGGUGCAAGCGUUAAAUCGGAAUUACUGGGCGUAAAGCGUGCGCAGGCGGUUAUAUAAGACAGAUGUGAAAUCCCCGGGCUCAACCUGGGACCUGCAUUUGUGACUGUAUAGCUAGAGUACGGUAGAGGGGGAUGGAAUUCCGCGUGUAGCAGUGAAAUGCGUAGAUAUGCGGAGGAACACCGAUGGCGAAGGCAAUCCCCUGGACCUGUACUGACGCUCAUGCACGAAAGCGUGGGGAGCAAACAGGAUUAGAUACCCUGGUAGUCCACGCCCUAAACGAUGUCAACUGGUUNUUGGGUCUUCACUUGACUCAGUAACGAAGCUAACGCGUGAAGUUGACCGCCGNGGAGGACGGCGCGAGUAGAACGACGAANAGAGUAGACGGACGUGAGACGAGACCGACGGACGACGACGAGGGGAGGAGG